rnacentral:rRNA from 1 species
GAUGAACGCUAGCUACAGGCUUAACACAUGCAAGUCGAGGGGAAACGACAUCGAAAGCUUGCUUUUGGUGGGCGUCGACCGGCGCACGGGUGAGUAACGCGUAUCCAACCUGCCCACCACUUGGGGAUAACCUUGCGAAAGUAAGACUAAUACCCAAUGAUAUCCCACGAAGGCAUCCGAAUGGGAUUAAAGAUUUAUCGGUGAUGGAUGGGGAUGCGUCUGAUUAGCUUGUUGGCGGGGUAACGGCCCACCAAGGCAACGAUCAGUAGGGGUUCUGAGAGGAAGGUCCCCCCACAUUGGAACUGAGACACGGUCCAAACUCCUACGGGAGGCAGCAGUGAGGAAUAUUGGUCAAUGGGCGAGAGCCUGAACCAGCCAAGUAGCGUGCAGGAUGACGGCCCUAUGGGUUGUAAACUGCUUUUAUAAGGGAAUAAAGUGGGUCACGUGUGACUUUUUGUAGGUACCACAUGAAUAAGGACCGGCUAAUUCCGUG